AAAACGGAGAGUUUGAUCCUGGCUCAGGAUGAACGCUGGCGGUAUGCUUAACACAUGCAAGUCGAACGGUGCUUUAGGGCACAGUGGCGGACGGGUGAGUAACGCGUGAGAAUCUGGCUUCAGGUC
rnacentral:rRNA from 1 species